rnacentral:ncRNA from 2 species
UGUAUAAACAACAUGUCGGGUCAAGGAAGUCCGGUGUAAAUCCGGCGCUGCCCCCGCAACUGUGAGGCUGACGAAACCCUAACUAAGCCACUGUCGAGAGAGGCUCCUAAAGGGGUCGCUCGAUGGGAAGGCCAGGGAAGUAGGAUGAAGCCGAGCCAGGAGACUUACCCGACAAUAAAACGAACG